AAAUUAAAAACAACCAUGCAUGUUCUUCAUUAUUGCCGAAACUAAAGAAAAUAAGAAAGAAAAGAAAGCUUUAAGGGUUCAGCAACUUAUUAAGCACAAUCAAGAUCAAGAAAAGAGAAAAUCGGAUUUAGAUCGGGGAAAAAGUAAAGUUGUUGACUAGCCGAUCCGUACCGGUUUUUCAUAGUCCGAGAUUUUGUUGUAAGUUACGAGCUCGGGGAUCGUCAGAAAAGUCAUCCACGCUAUCGCCAACCUUCGGUACUUUUAAAAGUCUAUUUUCAAACUUAUGGCAUGUAUAGGCUAAUAUGUAUUUUGUUCGACCUUGAAUAUGUAUAACUUUAGCCAUGCGAAAAUGGCAUAAAUGUUCAACUGGAUUUGAUUCCAUGAUGCUUAGACACAAGUCUUAGUAAUUCGGUUUUGGUUGAGUAAUGGUUGAAGUCUACUUGAUUAUUACGCCA